GAGUCACCCUUGUUCCCGCUUUCUCUAAUGACCACAGCCUAGGUGGUGACUCAUCAUAGCCCCGGGCUGGCGCCUUUCUUUCAACCUCCCAGUUCGUCAGUAUUCUGCUUAAUAUCUAGUGAUUUCUAUGUGUUUUUGUGUAUUUCUAGGCUCAGGUGUGGAGAUUAUAGCAGUAGAAAAAGUAAGCAAGGAGAAAUAAAGGAGAAGGACGAAGAAGAAAGGAGAAGGACAAACGAAAAGGAGGAAGAGCCAAGUCACAAUAUUUAGGUAACAUAACGCUGUGUGGACACUUCAGAUAAGCGACUCAGAGAGUCAAGACUCAUUCGAAGCAGUGGGAGCAGCGUUAGCUGAACAGCUAUGUGGUCCAGACUAUUUCCACUGUGUCACCAGAUUUUACGAAGAGAAAUAAGGAUAGCAUAUGCUGAGAGGUACUCUGUGUGUCCAUAGUGAGGCAGUGUAUAGGAGAGGAAUGGUGCUCCUUCAUCUCCCUGGAGG